rnacentral:rRNA from 1 species
GACGAACGCUGGCGGCGUGCUUAACACAUGCAAGUCGAACGCUGAAGCACCAGCUUGCUGGUGUGGAUGAGUGGCGAACGGGUGAGUAAUACGUGAGUAACCUGCCCUUGACUCUGGGAUAAGCCCGGGAAACUGGGUCUAAUACUGGAUGCUACAUGUCACCGCAUGGUGGUGUGUGGAAAGGGUUUACUGGUCUUGGAUGGGCUCACGGCCUAUCAGCUUGUUGGUGAGGUAAUGGCUCACCAAGGCGACGACGGGUAGCCGGCCUGAGAGGGUGACCGGCCACACUGGGACUGAGACACGGCCCAGACUCCUACGGGAGGCAGCAGUGGGGAAUAUUGCACAAUGGGCGAAAGCCUGAUGCAGCGACGCCGCGUGAGGGAUGACGGCCUUCGGGUUGUAAACCUCUUUCAGCAGGGAAGAAGCCACAAGUGACGGUACCUGCAGAAGAAGCGCCGGCUAACUACGUGCCAGCAGCCGCGGUAAUACGUAGGGCGCAAGCGUUGUCCGGAAUUAUUGGGCGUAAAGAGCUCGUAGGCGGUUUGUCGCGUCUGCUGUGAAAGCCCGGGGCUUAACCCCGGGUGUGCAGUGGGUACGGGCAGACUAGAGUGCAGUGGGGGAGACUGGAAUUCCUGGUGUAGCGGUGGAAUGCGCAGAUAUCAGGAGGAACACCGAUGGCGAAGGCAGGUCUCUGGGCUGUUACUGACGCUGAGGAGCGAAAGCAUGGGGAGCGAACAGG